ACGGGAGGCAGCAGUGAGGGAUAUUGCACAAUGGGGGAAACCCUGAUGCAGCGACGCCGCGUGAGUGAAGAAGUAUUUCGGUAUGUAAAGCUCUAUCAGCAGGGAAGAAAAUGACGGUACCUGACUAAGAAGCCCUGGCUAACUACGUGCCAGCAGCCGCGGUAAUACGUAGGGGGCAAGCGUUAUCCGGAUUUACUGGGUGUAAAGGGAGCGUAGACGGUAUGGCAAGUCUGGUGUGAAAACCCGGGGCUCAACUCCGGGAUUGCAUUGGAAACUGUCAAACUAGAGUGCAGGAGAGGUAAGUGGAAUUCCUAGUGUAGCGGUGAAAUGCGUAGAUAUUAGGAGGAACACCAGUGGCGAAGGCGGCUUACUGGACUGUAACUGACGUUGAGGCUCGAAAGCGUGGGGAGCAAACAGGAUUAGAUACCCUGGUA
rnacentral:rRNA from 1 species